rnacentral:rRNA from 1 species
UACGUAGGGGGCUAGCGUUGUCCGGAAUCAUUGGGCGUAAGGCGCGUGUAGGCGGUUCGGUAAGUCCGCUGUGAAAGUCGGGGGCUCAACCCUCGAAUGCCGGUGGAUACUGUCGGACUAGAGUACGGAAGAGGCGAGUGGAAUUCCUGGUGUAGCGGUGAAAUGCGCAGAUAUCAGGAGGAACACCAAUUGCGAAGGCAGCUCGCUGGGACGUUACUGACGCUGAGACGCGAAAGCGUGGGGAGCAAACAGG